CUCUGAACUUGUGCUGAAUCAUGUGACUACAAGGUGCCACAGAUGGCACAGUCUUUUCUUCACUCUUUUCUUUAUUUUUCUUUUCAGAACACUUACUUUUUCUCUUUUCUUUUAUCUGUCUCAUCUGUUUUUCUUCUGUUGUUAGAAAUACAGACAGUUCUCAGAUCAACUGAGAGAGUUAUCUCUCUUCAUUCACUAUAAAGCCUUUCAGACACAGCAGCAGUGAUCUCCUCAGAAACCACACUAUAGCCUCACCAUGAAUGACCAUAUAUCAGAUCAGAAAUAAAUGCACAGCUCAGAAAAAUCCUUUUCAAUGAGCUGAAUCUUCUCAAGAGUUGCUAUCUGAAUUCUGUUUUCUCUCUCUCUGUGUAUAUAGAAAUCUCUCCAGUGUAGCACAUCUUCAUAUCCUUUGGAAGGCUUCUGAAACACAGACACUGCCUGUGUUUUCUCCGGGACAUUAAAUCAAUACAAAC
rnacentral:sRNA from 1 species